rnacentral:rRNA from 1 species
GUGGGGAAUAUUGCACAAUGGGCGGAAGCCUGAUGCAGCGACGCCGCGUGAGGGAUGACGGCCUUCGGGUUGUAAACCUCUUUCAGCAGGGAAGAAGCGCAAGUGACGGUACCUGCAGAAGAAGCACCGGCUAACUACGUGCCAGCAGCCGCGGUAAUACGUAGGGUGCGAGCGUUGUCCGGAAUUAUUGGGCGUAAAGAGCUCGUAGGCGGCUUGUCACGUCGAUUGUGAAAGCCCAGGGCUUAACCCUGGGUCUGCAGUCGAUACGGGCAGGCUAGAGUUCGGCAGGGGAGACUGGAAUUCCUGGUGUAGCGGUGGAAUGCGCAGAUAUCAGGAGGAACACCGGUGGCGAAGGCGGGUCUCUGGGCCGAUACUGACGCUGAGGAGCGAAAGCGUGGGGAGCGAACAGGAUUAGAAACCCCAGUAGUCC